UACGGACAUAUCACUUUAUAACACCGGUUCACGUACGAUCACAGAAGUUAAGCAACAUCGAGCCUGGUCAGCACCUAGAUGGGGACCACUUGUGAAUACCAAGUGCUGUAA